GAUGAACGCUGACAGCAUGCUUAACACAUCAGCAAGUGAUUGGUGGCGGACGGGUGAGUAACGCGUAAAGAACUUACCUCACAGUUAGGGACAACAUUUGGAAACGAAUGCUAAUACCUAAUACUGUGAGAGAGCUUUGAGUCCCAUUAGCUAGUUGGAGAGGUAACGGCUCACCAAGGCGAGGAUGGGUAGCCGGCCUGAGAGGGUGAUCGGCCACAAGGGGACUGAGACACUGCCCUUACUCCUACGGGUGGCAGCAGUGGGGAAUAGUGGGCAAAGGACCAAAGUCUGAUCCAGCUAUUCUGUGUGCACGAUGAAGUUUUCGGAAUGUAAAGUGCUUUCAGUUGGGAAGCGGUACCAACAGAAAGAGUGACGGCUAAAUACGGGCCAGCAGCCGCGGUAAUAC
rnacentral:rRNA from 1 species